AUUGGACGCUGGCGGCAUGCCUUACACAUGCAAGUCGAACGGUAACAGGUCUUCGGAUGCUGACGAGUGGCGAACGGGUGAGUAAUACAUCGGAACGUGCCCGAUCGUGGGGGAUAACGAAGCGAAAGCUUUGCUAAUACCGCAUAAGAUCCACGGAUGAAAGCAGGGGACCGCAAGGCCUUGCGCGAACGGAGCGGCCGAUGGCAGAUUAGGUAGUUGGUGGGAUAAAAGCUUACCAAGCCGACGAUCUGUAGCUGGUCUGAGAGGACGACCAGCCACACUGGGACUGAGACACGGCCCAGACUCCUACGGGAGGCAGCAGUGGGGAAUUUUGGACAAUGGGCGAAAGCCUGAUCCAGCCAUGCCGCGUGCAGGAUGAAGGCCUUCGGGUUGUAAACUGCUUUUGUACGGAACGAAAAGACUCUUUCUAAUAAAGAGGGUCCAUGACGGUACCGUAAGAAUAAGCACCGGCUAACUACGUGCCAGCCGCCGCGGUAACAC
rnacentral:rRNA from 1 species